AUACGGAGGGUCCGAGCGUUAUCCGGAAUCAUUGGGUUUAAAGGGUCCGUAGGCGGGAAUCUAAGUCAGUGGUGAAAUCUUGCAGCUCAACUGUAAAAUUGCCAUUGAUACUGGAUUUCUUGAAUUAGUGUGAAGUGGUUAGAAUGUGUAGUGUAGCGGUGAAAUGCAUAGAUAUUACACAGAAUACCAAUUGCGAAGGCAGAUCACUAACACUAUAUUGACGCUAAGGGACGAAAGCGUGGGGAGCGAACAGGAUUAGAUACCCUAGUAGCCC
rnacentral:rRNA from 1 species